rnacentral:rRNA from 1 species
GUGUUCCACGCUGUCGGUUCGCCGCCCGUCGGUGUUAACUGGCAUGUCCUGUGGAACGUCCUGCCGGUGGCGGUCCGGGCUCUCGGCUUGCGUAAAGGCUCUCAUGCCCGAAGCAGGUCGAACAGUUCCGGCCGCCGGUCCAAUCCCGCCACGGUGCUCUUCACCGAGUGUCGAGGUGGGCCGGCACGUUUACUUUGAACAAAUUAGAGUGCUUAAAGCAGGCUGGUUUCCGCCUGAAUACUGUGUGCAUGGAAUAAUAGAAUAGGACCUCGGUUCUAUUUUGUUGGUUUUCGGAACCCGAGGUAAUGAUUAAUAGGGACAGGCGGGGGCAUUCGUAUUGCGACGUUAGAGGUGAAAUUCUUGGAUCGUCGCAAGACGAACCUAAGCGAAAGCAUUUGCCAAGUAUGUUCUCGUUAAUCAAGAACGAAAGUUAGAGGUUCGAAGGCGAUCAGAUACCGCCCUAGUUCUAACCAUAAACGAUGCCAGCCAGCGAUCCGCCGAAGUUCCUCCGAUGACUCGGCGGGCAGCUUCCGGGAAACCAAAGCUUUUGGGUUCCGGGGGAAGUAUGGUUGCAAAGCUGAAACUUAAAGGAAUUGACGGAAGGGCACCACCAGGAGUGGAGCCUGCGGCUUAAUUUGACUCAACACGGGAAACCUCACCAGGCCCGGACACCGGAAGGAUUGACAGAUUGAGAGCUCUUUCUUGAUUCGGUGGGUGGUGGUGCAUGGCCGUUCUUAGUUGGUGGAGCGAUUUGUCUGGUUAAUUCCGAUAACGAACGAGACUCUAGCCUGCUAACUAGGCGAUUUCCGGUACCCACAAUAGUGUUACCGGCGAUUCAAUUUCUUCUUAGAGGGACAGGCGGCUCCUAGCCGCACGAGACUGAGCAAUAACAGGUCUGUGAUGCCCUUAGAUGUCCUGGGCCGCACGCGCGCUACACUGAAGGAAUCAGCGUGUCUUCCCUGGCCGACAGGCCCGGGUAACCCGUUGAACCUCCUUCGUGCUAGGGAUUGGGGCUUGCAAUUGUUCCCCAUGAACGAGGAAUUCCCAGUAAGCGCGAGUCAUAAGCUCGCGUUGAUUACGUCCCUGCCCUUUGUACACACCGCCCGUCGCUACUACCGAUUGAAUGAUUUAGUGAGGUCUUCGGACUGGUGCGCGGCGGUCGGUUUUACUGGCCGCCGAUGUUGCCGGAAAGAUGACCAAACUUGAUCAUUUAGAGGAAGUAAAAGU